rnacentral:rRNA from 1 species
AACGCUAGCUACAGGCUUAACACAUGCAAGUCGAGGGGAAACGAUAUUGGAAGCUUGCUUCCGAUAGGCGUCGACCGGCGCACGGGUGAGUAACGCGUAUCCAACCUGCCCAUCACUUGGGAAUAACCUUGCGAAAGUAAGACUAAUGCCCAAUGACAUUUAUAGAAGGCAUCUGAAAUGAAUUAAAGAUUUAUCGGUGAUGGAUGGGGAUGCGUCUGAUUAGCUUGUUGGCGGGGUAACGGCCCACCAAGGCGACGAUCAGUAGGGGUUCUGAGAGGAAGGUCCCCCACAUUGGAACUGAGACACGGUCCAAACUCCUACGGGAGGCAGCAGUGAGGAAUAUUGGUCAAUGGGCGAGAGCCUGAACCAGCCAAGUAGCGUGCAGGAAGACGGCCCUAUGGGUUGUAAACUGCUUUUAUAAGGGAAUAAAGUGAGUCUCGUGAGACUUUUUGCAUGUACCUUAUGAAUAAGGACCGGCUAAUUCCGUGCCAGCAGCCGCGGUAAUACGGAAGGUCCGGGCGUUAUCCGGAUUUAUUGGGUUUAAAGGGAGCGUAGGCCGUCUGUUAAGCGUGUUGUGAAAUGUAGACGCUCAACGUCUGCACUGCAGCGCGAACUGGUUUCCUUGAGUACGCACAAAGUGGGCGGAAUUCGUGGUGUAGCGGUGAAAUGCUUAGAUAUCACGAAGAACUCCGAUUG